CCUACGGGGGGCAGCAGUGGGGAAUAUUGGGCAAUGGGCGCAAGCCUGACCCAGCAACGCCGCGUGAAGGAAGAAGGCUUUCGGGUUGUAAACUUCUUUUAAGAGGAAAGAGCAGAAGACGGUACCCCUUGAAUAAGCCACGGCUAACUACGUGCCAGCAGCAGCGGUAAUACGUAGGGUGCAAGCGUUGUCCGGAUUUACUGGGUGUAAGGGGCGUGCAGCCGGGAAGACAAGUCAGAUGUGAAAUCCCGCGGCUCAACCGCGGAACUGCAUUUGGAACGGUUUUUCUUGAGUACCGGAGAGGUCAUCGGAAUUCCUUGUGUAGCGGUGGAAUGCGUAGAUAUAAGGAAGAACACCAGUGGCGAAGGCGGAUGACUGGACGGCAACUGACGGUGAGGCGCGAAAGCGUGGGGAGCGAACAGGAUUAGAUACCCGAGUAGUC
rnacentral:rRNA from 1 species